UUUAAUAAUUUCUGUAUCCUUCCUAAUGAUCUCUCACGACCCUGAGUCCUCACUCCAUGUUCUGGUCCAGUUUCUGGAUACUGUGCGAAAAAUCCAGUGGCGCCCUAAAUAACUUUAGGGGUGACCAAGAGAGCGAAUAGAAUUUUUCAAA